UUUGCGCUGUAUUACCAAGGG
rnacentral:piRNA from 1 species